rnacentral:rRNA from 1 species
GCUUGUCUCAAAGAUUAAGCCAUGCAUGUCUUAGUGUAAAUAACUCUUAUGAAACUGCGAAUGGCUCAUUAAAUCAGUUAUCGUUUAUUUGAUGGUCCCUUACUACAUGGAUAACCGUAGUAAUUCUAGAGCUAAUACAUGCACAAAGGCCCGACUCACGAAGGGCUGUAUUUAUUAGAUUUAAAGCCGACAUCUUUUGGUGAUUCAUAAUAACUUUUCGAACCUCAUGCCUUUAUGGUGGAGGUGAUUCAUUCAAAUGUCUGCCUUAUCAACUGUCGAUGGUAGGUUACGCGCCUACCAUGGUUGCAACGGGUAACGGGGAAUCGGGGUUCGAUUCCGGAGAGGGAGCCUGAGAAACGGCUACCACAUCCAAGGAAGGCAGCAGG